rnacentral:lncRNA from 1 species
AUGGCUGACUGGUUUUAUGGAGAGUACAAAAGAAAAGGAAAAGCAGUUGAAAAGAGUGAAAAUAAAAUCACAUUAUCCUUGAUGACUGCAGGCAGUUUAAACAUGACAGCUGGUUCUUCGUUUGUGGACAUCUGCAGAAAGCUAACAGAAGUCAAUUUCCUGUGGAGAACAACUUUUUGUCUGCGUGUAUUUCAGGCUCAAUAA